GUACCUAAAUUCUAGCUCAGAUGGUAGAGCACAAGACUCUCAAUCUCAGAGUUGUGAAUUCGAGCUCCAUGUUGGACA